rnacentral:rRNA from 1 species
UACGGGGGGAGCAAGCGUUGUUCGGAUUUACUGGGCGUAAAGGCGCGUAGGCGGCCAGCACAAGUCAGUUGUGAAAUCUCCGGGCUUAACUCGGAAAGGUCAACUGAUACUGUGCGGCUAGAGUGCAGAAGGGGCAACUGGAAUUCUCGGUGUAGCGGUGAAAUGCGUAGAUAUCGAGAGGAACACCUGCGGCGAAGGCGGGUUGCUGGGCUGACACUGACGCUGAUGCGCGAAAGCCAGGGAGCGAACGGG